rnacentral:rRNA from 1 species
GACAGAGGGUGCAAACGUUGCUCGGAAUCACUGGGCGUAAAGGGCGUGUAGGCGGGAAGGAAAGUCAGAUGUGAAAUCCCUGGGCUCAACCCAGGAACUGCAUUUGAAACUCCCUUUCUUGAGUACCGGAGAGGAAGGUGGAAUACCUGGUGUAGAGGUGAAAUUCGUAGAUAUCAGGAGGAACACCGAUGGCGAAGGCAGGUCUCUGGGCUGACACUGACGCUCAUGCACGAAAGCGUGGGGAGCAAACAGG